UGGGGAAUUUUGGACAAUGGGGGAAACCCUGAUCCAGCCAUCCCGCGUGUGCGAUGAAGGCCUUCGGGUUGUAAAGCACUUUUGGCAGGAAAGAAACGUCAUGGGUUAAUACCCCGUGAAACUGACGGUACCUGCAGAAUAAGCACCGGCUAACUACGUGCCAGCAGCCGCGGUAAUACGUAGGGUGCAAGCGUUAAUCGGAAUUACUGGGCGUAAAGCGUGCGCAGGCGGUUCGGAAAGAAAGAUGUGAAAUCCCAGAGCUCAACUUUGGAACUGCAUUUUUAACUACCGGGCUAGAGUGUGUCAGAGGGAGGUGGAAUUCCGCGUGUAGCAGUGAAAUGCGUAGAUAUGCGGAGGAACACCGAUGGCGAAGGCAGCCUCCUGGGAUAACACUGACGCUGAUGCACGAAAGCGUGGGGAGCAAACAGG
rnacentral:rRNA from 1 species